UUCUGUUUUUCUUUUUAAGGAAAAAUGUUUUUCAAUUAAAAAACAUGAUGCCUAAACAAUGAAGUGCCUAUAUAGUCUUUCUUUUACUCUUCUCAGAGGCCUUAUUAUUUUUUGUGUUUCAUCAAUCAUAUGGUUUUGUAGAUUGGGUAAAAGUUGAAGAAGGCGACUACAAGGCUUGAGAAACAAUUGGCAAAAGAGCAAAAGAGAGGGCAAUUACAAGGCUGCAAGACUAAGAGUAGAAGAUAGGGAAAAAUUACAUUGUAGUUUCUUCACAUGAAUCAUGUUCCUUAAUAUAACUAGUGUUUUGUCAUAUUUUAGUGUUUGUUGAAAUGUAUGUUAUGCAUAUUUUAUACCUUCAUAUUGAUGGAGACUUAUGUAUUUUAUGACAAAUGUUGGGUUUUUUACCUCUUACAUUUUAUAAUUUCUUUAUCAAACAAAUAAUUUAAAUUUGAUACUUAUUAUGGCUUUUGGAAUUCAUUACUAGAAAAUAAAGAAAAUAUAGCUUUUGUGGACGAAGAGCUUUCCUGCGGAAUAGUUCAGAUUCCUGAGGAUUUUCCUGCCGAAACAGCUUUGCUGCAGAAUUACCUGAGGAAUCUGCUGCAGUAUUACAUGCGCAGGAAUCAUUCACGGGCAGGGGAAUUUCUGCCACUCUGACCAAAAGGUUUCCUGCGGAUAUUGUUCGCUUUUCUUGAGGAAAGUUCCGCAGGAAAUUUUCCUGCGGUUUCUAAAAUCCUCAGGAAACAACUAUCCACGAAGGUAUUACCUGGGAGUGCUAAUCUUCGGCCGCAGGAAAGGUGUUUUCUGCGGAAUUUUCACCAGAUUCCGCCGGAAAAUCCGCAGGAAAUUCGAGAGAUUCUACUAGUGCUAGUGUAGAUCCAACCAAUAACUUUGGUGUCGUCAACAUUGCAGAUCCGGAGACGUAUGUUAUUAACAUGAAUGUUAUGAGUUUGUUCGCAUUUUCAUCCUUUGUGUUUUUAGCGAAUUUGCAUUCUAUCGA
rnacentral:lncRNA from 1 species